rnacentral:lncRNA from 12 species
UGUCAAACAGGAAAUAAGUAUCACAUCUCUGCAUCACGUCACAGUUGUUUUAUCAUCACUGCAGCUUCAUGAAACUCUUUCUGGUAAAGGAAUACAUGUGUUGCAUUUUAAACUCUUGACUUCCUCAACACAUGCACAAAAACGAAGGUUAGUCAGUCUUCUUGUUAUUGCAGAGAACAGACCAAACCCCAAGACACACUAUAGAAUUUUUUUAACAUGUCUGAUUUGCGUUUGCAGUGUGGAAACAGAAUCAUUCAAAGUGGAAAGAAAGCGGUCUCUGCUUUCAGUAACAAGGUGAGAUGUUCAUUACAAGACAGCAGUUCAGAAAAGUAAACAAUAGUAAACAAUAAUUGUUGUGAACAUACGAUGUGUUUUAAUGGGGUUAUCUGAUAUGGCUUGUUCCCAGCCAUAGCUGUGUUUUUCAUGCCCAGGUAACAACUUACACAGACAUCAGAGAAACAGAAAAAUGGAUUCAUGGGCUUCUGGAGAAACAAUACACCAGUGGAGCAGUACUCUUAAAAGCACAACCUGAGGACAUUUUAAUUUCUUAUAUUGGGCCAUGUCCUGAGCACAACCAUCACACCAGGCAAGGGCUUUUCAGUUGGUCCCAAACUGGGGUUCAGCGCAACACCUCACUUUCCUGUGUGGGAAACCCUAAAAAGUUAGCCUAUAGACAAUGUCUUCUGGAUGCAAACGUUGGAGCUCUUUGGAAAUCUCCAGACCUGCGGCAAUGCCAGGUUGUGGUCAACAGUGUGUCAGACCUGGAGGACAUUACAGUCACUUAUGACA